rnacentral:tRNA from 1 species
AGAGAUGUAAACUAAAAAAGUUAUUGGGCUCAUGACCCACCUAUAAGAUAAAAUUUUCUUCGCUC